AUAUAGAAGAAGGAAAAAAAAA
rnacentral:sRNA from 1 species